AAAAUUUGGUUUUGGAUACCAAAUUAUGAAUAAUACUGUCCUGACUGGAUACUAAAAAAUUUCCUUUGAUGGGCUCCUGAAAGUUUUUGAAUAUUAUCAGUUUACCACCAGUCUUUCCUCAAUGAGGACUAGCAUAUAGAAGUUUGUUGAAGGAUUAUGUGGAUUAAUUGUUUAUUUGUUGUUGACUGUGGAGUCUCCUCAGUUGUUAUUGUAAUUUGUAACAGUGAGUGUUAUGGAAACUUAUUUGGAUGGGAUAUCCCCUUUGGAUACUGAGAAAAAAUAUAAAUUUCAGACCCUGAUGUAAAUGGUGCUUAUCUGAUUGUUCAUGUUACAAACUGUAAUUAUAUUUAGUAGCUAUAUUCAGUAUUCUCAGGGGGCAUAUAAAGGCUAUAAAUAAAGCCCUGGAGUCAUGUUUGUGCUUUUAACCCCUUGGAGUUCUCCUUUAAUGUCUGUAUAUAUAUAUUACCAUAUAACCCAAUAAAUCUGUUAAAAAAAAGAAAGAUUCGUUGAUGUAAAUCAAAAUUUCAUCAGUGUUUCCUGGGCAUUCUGAUGAGCUCUGAUAUAGAGCGAAACAAGCAUAUAUUUAGCAAUUGUCCUCCGUCUUGAAGAGACAUGAUGAAGUAAUCUGAUCACCAGAAUUGUUGAAGCUAAUAUUAGAUCAUUCAGUGUCACAAGAAUAUCAUCAUUUAAUGUCAAUAUGAGAGUAAUAUCAAUGAAUUCAUACUUCCAGUUCAUAAUUUCAAAACAUACAUUUUUAUAACACAAAAAAGUUGAAUAUAAUCUUAGCGUCUCGUACUCUCGUCACUGUCAAUCUAUUGAACUCUUCUGUUGUUUAUAUUAAAACAGCAUCCAAAAUUAUCUCCAUAGCGCGCACGAGCUUGAACAAAAGCUGUUUAUCCAGCUUUUGCACGGUCAAAAAUUUCGCACUUGGCUUUGGCACGAAGACAGGAACUGCAACCACAUUCUCAAUCACACUUGUUUCGAAUUUCGUCAAGCGAAAAGCUUUCCCCAAGUGCUUCUGUCAUAAUGACAACAACAACUCUGGCAACAUGUUUCGAGGGAUUGAUACCACAUGAACUAUUUUCGUGAUUAGACACAAACUCCAAAGGUAAACACUAAACACAAAUUAUUCGAACUCACACCUUCGGGAUUUCGGUUCGCCGCCCCAGCUGUUGUAUAUAGCAAGUCACACAAGGUUCAAAGCGGCCUGUUUAUUCACAAUGUUUACAGUUAAACAGUUACAGUAUAAGAUUGUGUUAUUGUGUACAAAAAUUUCCAGUGUAGAAAUGUACAAUAAAUGCAGCGAAGUAUUGUAAAACAUUGCACUCCUCGGUCACAAAUUAUGUGGAAUGUUACUUUGAACUCGUCAUAUACUUCAUCUUAUAUAAUUAAUGUGGAUCAAAACAAAAAACGUAAACAAAGUCCAGCGCAUGCGCAGAUGCGACUUUAACCUACCUUUA